AAAAUUAGAGUGUUCAAAGCAGGCAGAUCCAAUUUUCUGCCACCGAAUACAUUAGCAUGGGAUAAUGGAAUAGGACCCUGUCCUCCUAUUUUCAGUUGGUUUUGGCAGCGCGAGGACUAGGGUAAUGAUUAAUAGGGAUAGUUGGGGGCAUUAAUAUUUAAUUGUCAGAGGUGAAAUUCUUGGAUUUAUGAAAGAUUAACUUCUGCGAAAGCAUCUGCCAAGGAUGUUUUCAUUAAUCAAGAACGAAAGUUAGGGGAUCGAAGACGAUCAGAUACCGUCGUAGUCUUAACCAUAAACGAUGCCGACCAGCGAUUAGGAGACGUUGAAUACAAAACACCACCAUCGGCGCGGUCGUCCUUGGCGUGUCUCGGCUUCACGGCUGGGGCGCGCGAGGGCGGUUUAGCCCGGUGGCACCGGUGAA
rnacentral:rRNA from 3 species